UACGUAUGGUGCAAGCGUUAUCCGGAUUUACUGGGUGUAAAGGGUGCGUAGGUGGCAAGGCAAGUCUGAAGUGAAAAUCCGGGGCUCAACCCCGGAACUGCUUUGGAAACUGUUUAGCUAGAGUACAGGAGAGGUAAGUGGAAUUCCUAGUGUAGCGGUGAAAUGCGUAGAUAUUAGGAGGAACACCAGUGGCGAAGGCGACUUACUGGACUGCUACUGACACUGAGGCACGAAAGCGUGGGGAGCAAACAGG
rnacentral:rRNA from 2 species